GAUGAACGCUAGCGGCAGGCUUAACACAUGCAAGUCGAGGGGUAUAGGUUUUCGGACCUAGAGACCGGCGCACGGGUGCGUAACGCGUAUGCAAUCUACCUUUCACAGAGGGAUAGCCCAGAGAAAUUUGGAUUAAUACCUCAUAGUAUUAUGAAGUGGCAUCAUUUUAUAAUUAAAGUUCCAACGGUGAAAGAUGAGCAUGCGUCCCAUUAGCUAGAUGGUAAGGUAACGGCUUACCAUGGCUACGAUGGGUAGGGGUCCUGAGAGGGGGAUCCCCCACACUGGUACUGAGACACGGACCAGACUCCUACGGGAGGCAGCAGUGAGGAAUAUUGGUCAAUGGACGCAAGUCUGAACCAGCCAUGCCGCGUGUAGGAUGACGGUCCUAUGGAUUGUAAACUGCUUUUGUACGAGAAGAAACACUCCUUCGUGAAGGAGCUUGACGGUAUCGUAAGAAUAAGGAUCGGCUAACUCCGUGUCAGCAGCCGCAGUAAGAC
rnacentral:rRNA from 1 species